UUUUAUGGAGAGUUUGAUCCUGGCUCAGGAUGAACGCUGGCGGCGUGCCUAAUACAUGCAAGUCGAGCGAACGGACGAGAAGCUUGCUUCUCUGAUGUUAGCGGCGGACGGGUGAGUAACACGUGGAUAACCUACCUAUAAGACUGGGAUAACUUCGGGAAACCGGAGCUAAUACCGGAUAAUAUUUUGAGCCGCAUGGUUCAAAAGUGA
rnacentral:rRNA from 1 species